rnacentral:rRNA from 1 species
UCCGAAGGGGGCUAGCGUUGCUCGGAAUCACUGGGCGUAAAGGGUGCGUAGGCGGGUUUUUAAGUCAGGGGUGAAAUCCUGGAGCUCAACUCCAGAACUGCCUUUGAUACUGAAGAUCUUGAGUCCGGGAGAGGUGAGUGGAACUGCGAGUGUAGAGGUGAAAUUCGUAGAUAUUCGCAAGAACACCAGUGGCGAAGGCGGCUCACUGGCCCGGUACUGACGCUGAGGCACGAAAGCGUGGGGAGCAAACAGG